rnacentral:rRNA from 1 species
UACGUAGGGGGCGAGCGUUGUCCGGAAUCAUUGGGCGUAAAGCGCGUGUAGGCGGCCCGGUAAGUCCGCUGUGAAAGUCCAGGGCUCAACCCUGGGAUGCCGGUGGAUACUGUCGGGCUCGAGUCCGGAAGAGGCGAGUGGAAUUCCUGGUGUAGCGGUGAAAUGCGUAGAUAUCGAGAGGAACACCUGCGGCGAAGGCGGGUUGCUGGGCCGACACUGACGCUGAUGCGCGAAAGCCAGGGGAGCGAACGGG